rnacentral:tRNA from 1 species
UUUAAUAUGGCAGAUAAGUGCAUUAGAUUUAAGCUCUAAUUAUAAAUAUUUUAUUAUUUUAUUAAAA